UGGGCCUCUAGUGCAGCUGCAGGAGGGUCUGGGCCAUGGUGCAAAAAGGGGUUUAUGUACAGAUCUAUGUCACAGUGUGCUGUGUUCGGCAGCGGGACCAAGUUGACCGUCCUUGGUCAGCCCAAGGCUGGGCCCUCGCUCACCCUGUUCCCACCCUCCUCUGAGGAGCUCCAGAGCAACAAGGCCACACUGGUGUGUCUGAUCAACGACUUCUACCCGGGUGCCGUGACCGUGAACUGGAAGAAAGAUGGCACCAAGGUCACCCAGGGCGUGCAGAACACUCAGCCCUCCAAACAGACCAACAAUAAGUACAUGGCCAGCAGCUACCUGACUCUGACAGCAGAGGAGUGGAAAUCUCAUAAUUCAUUCACCUGCCAGGUCACUCAUGAGGGGAGCACCGUGGAGAAGAGUGUGUCCCCUGCACAGUGUUCCUAGGUCUCAGACCCUCACUCCACCCUGGAGCUGAAAACCCCAGGGAAGCUUCUCUCCUCCCACCCCUACCAUCCCAGCCCUUCUCCCUCAACCCAGAAACCCUCAAUAAACAUUCUCCUUUUCAACCAGAAAA